rnacentral:rRNA from 1 species
UCUUACCAUGCUCCUAUGCACUUUCAAUUGUUGCCUCGGAACAUCAGCCCGCUCCCGGUAAAACGGGACGGCCCGCCAGAGGACCCUAAACUCUGUUUCUAUAUGUAACUUCUGAGUAAAACCAUAAAUAAAUCAAAACUUUCAACAACGGAUCUCUUGGUUCUGGCAUCGAUGAAGAACGCAGCAAAAUGCGAUAAGUAAUGUGAAUUGCAGAAUUCAGUGAAUCAUCGAAUCUUUGAACGCACAUUGCGCCCGCCAGUAUUCUGGCGGGCAUGCCUGUUCGAGCGUCAUUUCAACCCUCAAGCCCCCGGGUUUGGUGUUGGGGAUCGGCGAGCCUUGCGGUAAGCCGGCCCCGAAAUCUAGUGCGGUCUCGCUGCAGCUUCCAUUGCGUAGUAGUAAAACCCUCGCAACUGGUACGCGCGCGGCAAGCCGUAAACCCCAACUUGUGAUGGUGACCUCGGAUCAGGUAGGAAUACCGCUGACUUAGCAUAUCAAUAGCCGGAGAGACUUCUGGG